UACGUAGGGGGCAAGCGUUGUCCGGAAUCAUUGGGCGUAAAGCGCACGUGGGCGGCCUGAUAAGUCGGGUGUGAAAGCCCUGGGCUCAACCCAGGAAGUGCACUCGAAACUGUCAGGCUUGAAUAUGGAAGAGGGUCGCGGAAUUCCCGGUGUAGAGGUGAAAUUCGUAGAUAUCGGGAGGAACACCAGUGGCGAAGGCGGCGACCUGGGCCAAUAUUGACGCUGAGGUGCGAAAGCGUGGGGAGCAAACAGG
rnacentral:rRNA from 1 species